rnacentral:rRNA from 1 species
AACGAACGCUGGAGGCGUGCUUAAUACAUGCAAGUCGAACGAGAAAGUACCUUCGGGUAUGAGUAAAGUGGCAAACGGGUGAGUAAUACAUAGGUAAUCUGCCGUUAGGAGGGGGAUAACCUGCCGAAAGGUGGGCUAAUACCGCAUAUGACCACAGUUACUACGGUAACAGGGGUUAAAGGUGGCCUCUACUUGUAAGCUACCACCUAACGAUGAGCCUAUGCACCAUUAGCUUGUUGGUGGGGUAACAGCCCACCAAGGCUACGAUGGUUAGCUGAUCUGAGAGGUUGAUCAGCCACACUGGAACUGAGACACGGUCCAG